CAAUAGCGUAUAUUAAAGUUGUUGCAGUUAAAAGCUCGUAGUUGGAUUUCUGGCCGAGUGUCCCUAGGCCAGCAUGACGUUUGGUCCUAGGCGCUCUGCCAUCCUUCUGUCAACCUUCGCCUUCUUCAUUGGGGGCGCUGGGGCUCAGAUAUUUUACCUUGAGAAAAUUAGAGUGUUUCAGGCAGGCUUUCGCCGGAAUACAUUAGCAUGGAAUAAUGGAAAAGGACUUCAACCUCUUCUGUUGGUCUGAGAGGCUGUAGUAAUGAUUAAUAGGGAUAGUUGGGGGUCGGAUUAGUACUUAACUAGUCAGAGGUGGAAAUUACUUCCGACUUUGUUUAAA
rnacentral:rRNA from 1 species